rnacentral:rRNA from 1 species
GUAAGGAAUAUUGGUCAAUGGAGGCAACUCUGAACCAGCCAUGCCGCGUGCAGGAAGACGGCCCUCUGGGUUGUAAACUGCUUUUAUCUAGGAAUAAACCUACUUACGUGUAAGUAGCUGAAUGUACUAGAAGAAUAAGGAUCGGCUAACUCCGUGCCAGCAGCCGCGGUAAUACGGAGGAUCCAAGCGUUAUCCGGAUUUAUUGGGUUUAAAGGGUGCGUAGGCGGCCUAUUAAGUCAGGGGUGAAAGACGGUAGCUCAACUAUCGCAGUGCCCUUGAUACUGAUGGGCUUGAAUGAACUAGAGGUAGGCGGAAUGUGACAAGUAGCGGUGAAAUGUUUAGAUAUGUCACAGAACACCGAUUGCGAAGGCAGCUUACUAUGGUUUUAUUGACGCUGAGGCACGAAAGCGUGGGGAUCGAACAGGAUUAGAUACCCUAGUAGUCC